rnacentral:rRNA from 1 species
CAGUCGCCGCGGUAACACAGAGGGUGCGAGCGUUAAUCGGAUUUACUGGGCGUAAAGCGUGCGUAGGCGGCUUUUUAAGUCGGAUGUGAAAUCCCUGAGCUUAACUUAGGAAUUGCAUUCGAUACUGGGAAGCUAGAGUAUGGGAGAGGAUGGUAGAAUUCCAGGUGUAGCGGUGAAAUGCGUAGAGAUCUGGAGGAAUACCGAUGGCGAAGGCAGCCAUCUGGCCUAAUACUGACGCUGAGGUACGAAAGCAUGGGGAGCAAACAGGAUUAGAUACCCGCGUAGUCCCUGUCUCUUAUAC